CUUUUCUUUGAUACGAACGCGUUCUAUUCACUGCAUCAUUAUUGUAAUUUGUUUGAUGAAUGGAGGGGAAAAGAACGCCAGAGCAAUUUUAUUGUCGAACACGACCUCAUACCCAGUAAUGUCUAUUCAAAUUAGUCCUUUUUGGAACUUUUUUGAAACUACCGCAUUUUUUUGGUAACUGCGUUUUCGAUAUAUUC
rnacentral:snoRNA from 1 species